UACCAAACUGAUGGAAAAUAUGUUUUAAAUCUGGCGUUAUGAGCUGUCAACAUGGUCAAUGUGCUGUCAACAUGUCUCUGAGCCGUCCCGAUGGAAGUGGUCAUAAGGGGGAUACUUGGCUUUUACACAUCCAAAGAAUCCGACCCUGUCCUUUCUUGCGAUGUCACCCAACGUCUUCGGCAGCUCUGCUCGACGUCAAUGAAUCCAAG